rnacentral:rRNA from 1 species
CCUACGGGAGGCAGCAGUCGAGAAUCAUUCACAAUGGGCGAAACCCUGAUCGUGCGACGUAGCGUGGAGGAUUGAAGGCCUUCGGAUUGUAAACCUCUGUUAUGUGGGAGUAAAGUAAAAAGAUAGUACCUUAAGAGAAAGAGAUGGCGAACUCGGUGCCAGCAGCCGCGGUAAUACAGCGGUGUUAAGCGUUGUUAGCAUUCACUGGGCGUAAAGGGUGCGUAGACGGUUUCGUAAGUCAUGUGUGAAAGGUGGGGGCUCAACCGGAGAAGGGCAAAUGAUACUGGGAGACUAGAGUAAUGGAGAGGGAGGCGGAAUUCGCGGUGUAGCAGUGAAAUGCGUAGAUAUCGAGAAGAACA